UGUUGCUGUGGUGUGGGGCAAGGUUAUCACCGGUUAAUAAUAAAAUAGUGCUUAUGAGGGUAGUAAUUAGCCCCAGUCAGCAUGGCUGAUGGUCAGGGAUGAUGAUGGGUGAUGUAGUUCAAUACCAUGUUGACUAUCCCUGGGCCUCUAAUAUUCGAGGUAAAACAGUUUCCAAGUCUCCCAUGGCAUUUUUGGCAGUGUUUCGGUCUCAGUGUCACUUCUCAGGUUUCUUCAUAGUUGACAGGGCAUUGGUGCUAAUAGUACAGUACCAGCUCAUUUCAAUCCCGUUGCCAUAGUGCCAAUGGCACAUAAUACCAGGACUGUCAGUGACUGGCAUCUAUUUGGUUGCCAUGGCAGCACCGUGGUUGCUAUGGUACCGAUCUAGGUGUCAGCAUCCUAGCUAUUUUGCCACUGUCUUAAGAAUGUAGAGACUGUUGUGAUAGGAGCAGUUGCAAGAUUGCUAAACAUGGACUAGUUCUGUCUAUAACCACCACCGGCUAAUCUGUUGAUCCCACCAUCAUGGUGAUUUAUAAAAGUAGAGCUUUUUUCAUGCAAGUUAUUAGGUAAACAGGAAAAUGUGUACAGAAAGUGGUUUUCAUUUUACUGAGUACUAAUUUUUCUCAAGUUUAUUUAGGUAGCCAGUAACACAAUUAUCCUUAGACAAGACGUCUGAACAUUUUCCUAAACUUUCUUCCUUUUUUCUAACAGGAUGCAGUGAGCACACAGACCUAGAAUCAGUUUUUGCACCCAGCCAAUUUAAAAUGUACUAGAGACUAUGCCUUGUUUGGAACCAAGAACGUUCACAAUGCCUGGAAGAAUUCCACAUAUAAUGAAAUAAUUGGUGGAAGCAAAAUGGGGCAGUGGGGGUAGAACUGACAGUGCAAAAUGUGUGUAUGUGAGGGGGAACUUGUUUUUUCAAAUAUUGCUUAGAUAAAAAACCAUUUAUGAAGCCCAAAACUUUAGUCCAUCUGCUGUG